CAGUCGCCGCGGUAAUACGGAGGGUGCAAGCGUUAAUCGGAAUUACUGGGCGUAAAGCGCACGCAGGCGGUCUGUCAAGUCAGAUGUGAAAUCCCCGGGCUUAACCUGGGAACUGCAUUUGAAACUGGCAGGCUAGAGUCUUGUAGAGGGGGGUAGAAUUCCAGGUGUAGCGGUGAAAUGCGUAGAGAUCUGGAGGAAUACCGGUGGCGAAGGCGGCCACCAGGACAAAGACUGACGCUCAGGUGCGAAAGCGUGGGGAGCAAACAGGAUUAGAUACCCGCGUAGUCCCUGUCUCUUAUAC
rnacentral:rRNA from 1 species